rnacentral:lncRNA from 1 species
UUCUUAUUUCAAAUGGGAUCAUUUCAUAGCCUCGUCACAUUUGACUUUGCUUCAGUGAGAAUAAAGCUAGGCGAGGAGUAGUGACUUGACUUGGCUUUUUCUCAAGUGAACACCUGAGUGGUAUGUACAGCUUCACUACAGCUUCUCCAAACACUUGACAUACUUCACAAAUUUGGCAGCCUUCAGCACUGGCUCACUCUAGGACCUGCUGUCUUGAGCAAGUAUGAGGAAACCUCCCAUGCCCGGCUGUCUCUGUGCUGAGAGCUGGCCUGUUGCCAUCCCGGAAUAGCAUGCUGCUGCUCCACCCGCAUCAGCCAUCAUCUUCAUUGACCACCCAUUGGGUCUGGUCUGCUGUGCCCAAUAAUGGACCCAUAGCACAGGAAAUGCUUUUCUCUAGUGUCCUUUUUUCUCUGCUUUCAGGAUUUUUCAUACCUACUAUAAUGUUUCAUAAUUGCUUUAAAGGCU